rnacentral:snoRNA from 1 species
UGGUUCACUAGGGCUUGUGAGAGUUCAAUCCAAAAGCUCUAACCUCUUGAACCAAGAAGUGAUCUUUGUCAGAGCUGUAUAAUCAGACACUUAAAAGUGUGAAUUUUUUUUUUCUAACAUUAGA